UCAGCCCUGGAUUCCCAGGUUCUCACAUUCAUUGACCAGCACUAACACAGCACUUGCCAUGGACUUCAAGCUCAGCUUGAUUUUCCUUGUCCUUAUGUCAAGAGGGGUACAGUGUGAUGUGCAGCUGGUGGAGUCUGGGGGAGGCUUAGUGCAGCCUGGAGUGUCCCUGAAACUCUCAUGUGCAGCUUCGGGAUUCACUUUUGAUGACUAUGGGAUGGCAUGGAUCCGCCAGGCUCCAAAGAAGGGGCUGGAGUGGGUGGCAACCAUUAAUUGGAAUGGUGAUAACACCUACUAUCCAGACACCUUGAAAGGCCGAUUCACAAUCUCCAGAGACAAUGCAAAAAAUGCCCUACACCUGCAAAUGAGCAAUCUGAGGUCUGAGGACACGGCCAUAUAUUACUGUGCAAGAGGCACAAUGAGUGAAUAUUACUGUGAACUCAAACAGAAACCUCCUGCAAAGCACUUGGGACCAGGAGAGGGCGCAGAGAGCACACAAAGCUCCUAG